AUGACACCAGGGGAGCACAGGAGCCCUGAGGGGCCCAGCUCGAGGGGCCUCUCAGACGGAAAUGCUCUGGCACCGGGGUCCGAUGUCUGUGGGGCCCUUUCCCAGGGGGCACACGGGACUAGGGGCAGAUUCAGGACGGCGGCCUUUGCUCCGGGGUGGGGCUCGCGGAGUUGGAGGUACCCCAGCAACUGGGCGGUCCCCACAAUUUGCUGGUGCCUUCAGGCCUCCUGCGCAGGCCUGGCUAAAGUCCUGGGCCUCGCCAGCUCUGAGGUCCAACAGGGGUGCAGCUCAGCUGGGCCGGGCGCUCCUGGGACUAGAUCUGACCCUGUGACCAGCCCCAGACCUCCGGGCCCCGACAGCCAGCCUUGCCCACCUCCCGGCUCCCGGGGAGCCGCCCUGUCUGCACGCCCCUUCGGGGUUCAGUCCUCCUCUGCUCCUUUGCUGGUUUCCUCCCCCCAUACACCCGACCUCUUAAUGUGGGGGGCUCCAGGGCCCUGUCCCCAGACCACUCCUCUCUGUGUCACUCCCCACGGGAGCUUGCGUACCCCCGUUCCCAUUUCUGUGCGUCACCCCCUCUGCCGAGCUCCACACCGCAUCUGUAGGGUGAGGCAGCUCCUGGCCCUCUGGCCGACACCUCCUCCAUCCCUUCAGUACUCGUUCCUGAGCACCCAGCAUGGCCCAAGUGCUGGCAACACGGGCCCCGGGAGACGCAGGGCCCUCCCCGGUGCCCUUACGGCAGCCCCUCAGCGAGCACGUUGGCCCCACAGCCUGCCUCAGCGGAUGGCAAUAGCGCACAGCCAGACUUCCCAACAGGAAGCAGGAGACCACCGUUGUCUCUCAAAACUCUCCCUUUUCGGGGGAUCUGUGGGUGGCUCAGCGGUUUGGCGCCUGCCUUCAGCCCAGAGCAGGAUCCUGGGGUCCCAGGAUCUAGUCCCACGUCGGGCUCCCUGCAUGGGCCUGCUUCUCCCUCGCCUGUGUCCCUGCCUCUCUCUCUCUCUCUCUCUGUGUCUCUCAUGA
rnacentral:lncRNA from 12 species